CACUGCCCGUCGCUCUUACCGAUUGAAUGGUCCAGUGAAUCGUUCGGAUAGCAGCGACGUGGGCGGUUCACCGCCGUGACAUCGCGAGAAGUCCAUUGAACCUUAUCAUUUAUAGGAAGGAGAAGUCUUAAUAAGGUUUCUGUAGGUGAACCUGCGAAAG
rnacentral:ncRNA from 1 species